CGCUUUCACUCCUACGGGAGGCAGCAGUGGGGAAUAUUGCACAAUGGGGGAAACCCUGAUGCAGCCAUGCCGCGUGUGUGAAGAAGGCCUUCGGGUUGUAAAGCACUUUCAGUAGGGAGGAAGGUAGUGUAGUUAACACCUGCACUAUUUGACGUUACCUACAGAAGAAGCACCGGCUAACUCCGUGCCAGCAGCCGCGGUAAUACGGAGGGUGCGAGCGUUAAUCGGAAUUACUGGGCGUAAAGCGCAUGCAGGCGGCCUGUUAAGUCAGAUGUGAAAGCCCGGGGCUUAACCUCGGAAUUGCAUUUGAAACUGGCAGGCUAGAGUCUUGUAGAGGGGGUAGAAUUUCAGGUGUAGCGGUGAAAAUGCGUAGAGAUCUGAAGGAAUACCAGUGGCGAAGGCGGCCCCCUGGACAAAGACUGACGCUCAGAUGCGAAAGCGUGGGGAGCAAACAGGAUUAGAUACCCUGGUAG
rnacentral:rRNA from 1 species